UGUGCCUAUGAUGAGCUGCAGAAACCUUGCCUACAUUGCUUGAUAAUUUUGGUGUGAGAAUAGAUUGCAAGCUUCUGAGGCCA
rnacentral:snoRNA from 1 species